rnacentral:rRNA from 1 species
AUUGAACGCUGGCGGCAUGCUUUACACAUGCAAGUCGAACGGUAACAGGCCGCAAGGUGCUGACGAGUGGCGAACGGGUGAGUAAUGCAUCGGAACGUGCCCAGUCGUGGGGGAUAACUACUCGAAAGAGUAGCUAAUACCGCAUACGAUCUAUGGAUGAAAGCGGGGGACCGUAAGGCCUCGCGCGAUUGGAGCGGCCGAUGUCAGAUUAGGUAGUUGGUGGGGUAAAGGCUCACCAAGCCAACGAUCCGUAGCUGGUCUGAGAGGACGACCAGCCACACUGGGACUGAGACACGGCCCAGACUCCUACGGGAGGCAGCAGUGGGGAAUUUUGGACAAUGGGCGCAAGCCUGAUCCAGCAAUGCCGCGUGCAGGAAGAAGGCCUUCGGAUUGUAAACUGCUUUUGUACGGAACGAAACGGCUCUGGUUAAUACCCGGGGCUAAUGACGGUACCGUAAGAAUAAGCACCGGCUAACUACGUG